rnacentral:rRNA from 1 species
UCGGCUUAGAGUUUGAUCCUGGCUCAGAACGAACGCUGGCGGCAGGCUUAACACAUGCAAGUCGAGCGCCCCGCAAGGGGAGCGGCAGACGGGUGAGUAACGCGUGGGAAUCUACCCAGUUCUACGGAACAACUGAGGGAAACCUCAGCUAAUACCGUAUACGCCCUACGGGGGAAAGAUUUAUCGGAAUUGGAUGAGCCCGCGUUGGAUUAGCUAGUUGGUGAGGUAACGGCUCACCAAGGCGACGAUCCAUAGCUGGUCUGAGAGGAUGAUCAGCCACACUGGGACUGAGACACGGCCCAGACUCCUACGGGAGGCAGCAGUGGGGAAUAUUGGACAAUGGGCGCAAGCCUGAUCCAGCCAUGCCGCGUGAGUGAUGAAGGCCUUAGGGUUGUAAAGCUCUUUCAAUAGUUUCGAUAAAAGUUGUACCCACGGU